UACGUAGGGGGCAAGCGUUGUCCGGAAUCACUGGGCGUAAAGGGCGCGUAGGCGGUACUAUAAGUCUGAUGUGAAAGUUCAGGGCUUAACCCUGAGAGUGCUUUGGAAACUGUAGAACUUGAGUGCUGGAGAGGCAAGGGGAAUUCCACGUGUAGCGGUGAAAUGCGUAGAGAUGUGGAGGAAUACCAGUGGCGAAGGCGCCUUGCUGGACAGUUACUGACGCUGAGGCACGAAAGCGUGGGGAGCAAACAGG
rnacentral:rRNA from 1 species